GCCAGUAUAUAUUUCUUUUCAAGGAGAAAUAUUUCAAAACAAGCAAGAUUUGGGGGAAUAUUUUUCCCGAAGCCUACACAGCACAAAAUGUGAUUUGAUGAGAAAUCGUUACUGGAGUUUCAACAGAAAAGAUGUGUCUGGAUGAUGACAGGUGGGGAAGAAUCUUCGUCGGUGACCAGAAUCCACGUUGACAGCCUUGGGAGGCCAAGGUCAUCUGUCGGAUCUGCGAUAUGGAAAUGGCAGGAGAAAGAUGGCUUCAUCGCGCUGUUCAUGUGAUUGUUCUGAGCAGUGUGGAAAUCUUCCUGUUUUGUUCUUAGAGCCUGAUUCCAGACUUAGUUGGUGACUUAUCUUGAUGGCAAACAAAGAUGCACAGUCUACAUGUAUUAGAGGAUUCUGCUAAACUGGAGUCAGAAAAAUAAUGAAAAUCCCAGUUGCUUUUGAUUUUGUUACGUGAGCUUUGUAAUUGAGUUAGUGAGCGAUGCAUUGAUUGACUGCAUCUGGAAUAAAACGGGUACUUGUAGUGGCAUAAGGAGAGGUAAUGUGAAAUGUAAUUUGUACCAAUUAUUGUUGUGACAUGUGAUUGAAUGUUCACUGUUAGCAGGUACUCUGUCAUAUUUCACACAAAACUAAUUUAAGGUGUUUGUUUUCAGUGCAGAGGCUAUGCAAUAUAAAUUGCACCUACAAGAUUUUCAUUACUUAAGAAAACAAAUAACAAAACCCUGCCUUUUCGUAUUUAUGUUUUUAAAAGCUUAAUGAACCUGUAAAAAUACUGAGAAAAAUCAAAUCGUCAGUCAUAUUAUGCAUCCUAGGAGAACCUGGUGGAAAACUGUAUUUUGCCUGUGUCUGCUCUGAUGGUAUUACAACUCCAUAAAUGAGCAAUUACAGAGUCGCAGCUGGGCUAAGUGAUCACUGUGGAUUGUCCCCUGGAGCCUUCACUGCAAACCCUUGGAGACUGACUUUGCUUCAGAGUUGAUCCCUAGGUCACAGUUUUUCUUUUCUCUCUCUCUCUCUCUCUCUCUCUCUCUCUCUCUCUCUCUCUCUCUCUCUCUC